rnacentral:lncRNA from 1 species
AUGUGGGAGAAACUGAAGAAGUGCAACUAUUCUACUACUUCGUCGAGUCCGAAAGCAAUCCUAAAACGGACCCUAUUCUGCUUUGGCUCACGGGUGGACCUGGUUGCUCUGCUCUCUCCGGCCUCUUUUAUGAAAUCGGUACUCUCUAUAUAUGUGUGUGUGUUAUUAUUUUCUUUUAGUAAAUGCGACUUAUACAUAUUCAGGGAGUUACACCUUUCCUAUGAAUAAACGAGAGAGAUGUGUAUUAUUAUUUUCUUUUAGUAAGGACUUAUAUAUAUUCAGGGAAUUACACCUUUCCUAUGAAUAAACGAGAGAGAUAUGUGUGUGUGCACUAUGCAAAUGAUGAGUAGCAGCCAGCAAAAUAUGGAAAGCGAUUCGCUUUAUUCAAAUUGAUCUUACGAAAGAUCUGCAAUUGCUCAGUACCGUAAAUAAGUAAUAUAGUGAUAAGUGGAAUGAUUUCACCGAAUUUCUGACUCAAAAUUUUUGCAAUAAUUUUACAAAUGAUGAGAAAACCGGUUCCUAUAUCCGGUGUGAGUUCGCUAAUUUAAUGGAUUUUAAUGGUGAUAUAUGGUUGACACAGCCCCGGCCCCAGCUUCUGUCCCUGUUCCUCAAGCUAAGUUUCAAUUUGUUUUGUUUAGAAUGAAUUUCCAUUCCAAGAAUAUAUUUCCAAGCAGCUGGUCGUAGAAUUCGACAAGGUAAACUUUACGGCUUAAAAAUCCACUGAAAAACCCAUUGCCCCUUACCCAGUCUCUUUACAAAAAAAAAAAAAAUAUCCAUGCUAAAAAUUGUUAAAUAUAAUCAGCAAGAUUCACUGGAUUGAAAGAAUAUUAUAUUUUGACAACCCAUUAAACUAUAUUUGAAAUAUAACUUUUACGAUUUUCAUGCCAAUUUUGCAUGCUUUUGUGUAGGUCCAUUAGCUUUCAAUGUUGCAGAUUUUGAUGGAAACUUACCAUCUAUUCACCAAAAUCCAUAUUCAUGGACCAAGGUCAAAAACAUAUUUCAUUCCAUGAUCAAAGUCAUAUACGUAUCUCAUCUAUAGCUCUCUAAGUUUAGCACUGCAAUAAUUUAGCCUUAUGAUUUGCAGGUUGCCAAUAUUAUAUUUAUUGAUUGGCCCGUUGGCACUGGAUUUUCCUAUGCAAACACAUCGAAAGGUUACUCUUCUUCAGAUACCAAAUCAGCAAAAGACAACUAUACGUUUCUUAGAAAGGUACAUUGAUAUUGUUAAUCAUAAGUCAUAGUUGUAAGUAGCUAUUGAAGAGAAUAGAAUUUUAAGUUGUUAGGCUUCUCCGUUUCACCUAUUAAGAAGUCGCUUAUAGACAACUCACUCUUAAAAGUAAUGUGUGAGGUUAGAAUUUUCGAUGUAUUUGUAAACUUCGAUGUAUUUGUAAACCCAUAAGCUAGGCCUUUCACUAGUGAUGUAGGAUUUAAAAUAGUCGCUAUACCAUCCACAUGUGUUUCCAGGUUAGUGAUAUAACAAAAUAUUGAAAAUGCAGUGGUUGUUGAAUCACCCUAUGUUUAUGAAAAAUCGUUUAUAUGUUGCGGGGGACUCUUAUGGUGGCAAACUGGUUCCCAUGGUUGCCUUGGAAAUAUCAAAAGGUAUGUCUGUAAAUAAGAAAUAUAAAACUUGGUUUUCUUUUUUUUUUUCUUUUUUUUUUCUUUUUGUGUGUGUGUGUCAAUAAACUAUGCUUGAUUAAGUUGUAAGUGCUGCUGGUAAUGCAGGCAAUGAAGCAGGCUUACAGCCAUGAAUAUCUUUCCAAGUACUAAUUUACUAUUUAUAUGAUAACUCCAUUUUUAUUUUCAAAUUUUGCAAUAUCACAUUAAUGAGAGAGUGCUUUCGGAAUUGAAAUAGGGAUACAUUAUUGGGAAUGGAUUAACGGAUCCAAACAUUGAUUACAAUGAACGAAUUCCAUAUGCUCACCGAAUGGCACUUAUAUCGGAUGAAUAUUUUGAGGUAGUAAUAUUCUUGAAUCAAUUAUUUUGAUGAUAAAAUUAAUCACACCUAAAACUUGUUAUUGAAUCUAUUUCCCUUAUUCAUGUAACUUGAUACAAUUUUAGUCGGCAAAAAUUAGCUGUGAUGGGAAAUAUUACAAUCCUGAUCCAAAAAAUUUGCAAUGUCUUUAUGCUCUCAGACCGAUCCAAGAGGUAGCACUUGCAUCUUGUUAUAUUUUAUAUUUUCUUUGAAAUUUAGUAUAGCAUAAACACUCAUGAAAUGAUCAAAUAUUGCAGAGUAUUAAAAAUGUAAAUCGAGGACACAUUCUGGAACCAAAAUGUAAACAUAUAGCACCAAAACCAAAUGAAUUGGGAUGGGAUCAAACACUUGCUGAAGAUGAUUCCACUGACCACCUCCUCCUCCCAUCCAAAAUAAAUGGAUUGUGGUGCCGCGUAAUUUCGACCUCUAUUUAUAUAUCUCAUAGCAUGUUCUCCUAGAGUUAACAGGGUUUCUCAAGGUGUGGUUUCUUUUUUGCAGUUUCAAACUUACGUGACAUCAUAUAUUUGGGCAAAUGAUCCAACCGUCCAAGAAGCUCUUCAUAUUAAAAAGGUACUUCUAAAUCAAAAUUGUUAAAAACCCACUAUACUUUAUAAUGGCUAAUCUUUGAUUUGAUUGCCAGGGAACAAUAACAGAUUGGACAAGAUGCAAUAACAGCUUAUCCUAUGCACAUAAUAUAGAAAGUGUUGUUCAAUAUCAUAAAAUCCUCAGCAGGAAAGGAUAUGAAGCUUUGGUGUACAAGUAAGUCAUAUUCAUUUAUUUCUUAAACAAAGUGACUUAUUUUGUUCUAAGCUUAUUCUAGUCCAUCAACUAAGAUAUAGUUGUUUCAAAAGUCAAGGUAAAAGUAUUAAACAAAAAACCUAACUCUACAAAUUUGUAAAUUUGAUUUAAUCUUUUUCAAUUGUUCAUGUUAUCUUUCCAGUGGUGAUCAUGACAUGCUCAUAACUUAUAUGGGUACUUUAAAAUGGAUUCAUAGUCUCAAUCUAACCAUAGAUGACGAGUGGAGACCUUGGAAUGUUAACGGCCAAUUUGCAGGGUUGGUUUCCAAUUCUUUAUCUCAUCCAUUCACACAGAUAUAUGUUGCAUCUUAUUGAAUAAAUCUCAAAAUCUCAUUUACAUAUUAUUUUGUAGAUACACAAGAAAAUACAAGAAGAAUGACUUCUAUCUCACAUUUGUAACGGUGAAGUUAAGAAAAUUUCACUAUGCUCUUUCUCACGGUGAUUGAAAGAAAAAAGAAGUAAACAUGUGUAAUCUAUUGCAGGGUGCAGGUCAUACGGCUCCGGAAUAUAACCCUGAACAAUGUCUUGCAAUGCUCAAUCGAUGGCUCUCUUUAUAUCCUUUAUAGAUUCGGAUUGAUGGCUAAGUUUUUAGGGUUCAUCCAUUACACCUUUUUAGCACUGUGAAAUCAUGAGAAAAAAAGUGAAAAAAAAAAUUUAUAAUGAAAGCAAACUUCAAAAUAAAGUAAUAGCAAUGCCAUGUAAUGUAAUGUUACGAUGCACGUACGUCAUCAAAUCAAAGAUGCCUUGGCUUGGAUUAUCUGGUCCUGUGGUAUCGUUUUCCAUGGUGGUGGACUCCACCAAAUGUUAUUGGGUUGAAGCCUCGAAGUCGUUCAGCCUCCUUAGCAUUGAUCACACACUUAGAUGAAGUAACCUUGUAACGUGAACAGUCAUAGCAGUACGAGUAUUGCAUGUGCUUACGUAAACUCUCAAAUUUCAUUUGCUUUUCACGAAUGCAUUUUUAGCAGUAUUUUAAAAAGCGUAAAGCGUGACUCGGUGUGAAAGCCAAUUUUCAAGCUUUACGAAUCUAGCCAAGGCUUAGGAGUAAAAAAAUGUUUUUUAUUUAUUUUUAAUAUUAUUUAAAAUUUUAUUAAAAAUUAUUUAAUAAUUAAAAUAAUAUAUACCAAACAUUUAAAAUUAUAACAUACUAUAUUUAUUUAAUAAUUCCUACAGUUAGUAAAUUAUACAAUUUUUAAUUUUUCAAAGUGCAAAAAUUAGAUUUUUUUUUCAUAGUUUCAACUUUCAACAGAUAAGUCUUACUUGAAAUUUUCUAACAGAUUUUUAUUUUUGACUCUUGUUCAAAUAAAGUUUUUUAAAAACUUGAAACAAAUCUCAAAUGAAAGGCUUUUAAAAAAAAAUAAAAUAAUUAAUAAAGCGCCACUAGGCACUCAUUGUCAAGGUGUAGCAUUUCGCUCGGGGCCGUGCCUAAGCAUUGCUUGGCGAGCUUUUUAGAAUGCUAUUGUUUAGUAUAGUAAUUUGUCCCUUUAUUUUUCUUUUAACCCUUUUUGAAGAGAAUAACGAGAUGGAAAGAAAUUGAUUCAAAAAGUAGAUAAUAUUGUUUUAUUAAUCAAAAAAUUCGAUUUUCCCUUAGUUAAAGAUAUAGCCUUUUAGAAGUAUACGAAAUUAAGAAAAUGGAGCAGAAAAUUGUUAAAAUUAUUUGAAUAGCUCGCCAACAAAUUGAACGUGAAAGGUAGAACAUUUUGUUGCGAUAGUAAUGUUCUUAUUUGGUAAGGAUACCAUUACAUUUGGAGUUACGCGUUGAGUUUUACUCAACCCCAUAAACUUGUUUCAUUAAGCACCAUCAACUUAAUCAUCAUUUUUCUAUCCAGUAGAUUUGACAAACUUCAUAUGGUGACGAAGAAAAUGAGUGGAGAAUUCAUGAAAUGGGCAAUAUGUUAAUGGUAUUGCAUUUUCCCAACCUCAUCCCUAAUGAAUAAUAAGCAUUUGACUAUACUCCAUACAUUAGCAGUUAAAAGAGAUACAUGUUGAACAUUUUCAUAGAUCUUAGCAUUUAUUUUCCUUGGUAAUCUUGUUUUUCAUUUCUUUUAGGGAAAAUUGUAGCCGAGGUACCAAUACUUUUGUUUAUUAGCAGACUUUGCCCAAACCUUUAGUUUGUGCCACCGGAGAUACCAAACCUUUAAAAAAUGAGCAUGACAGUCCAAAAUGACGGUUUCCGUCUGUUUGACCGCCAAAAUCGUCAAUUGACCCCUCUAAUGAUAUUUUCAAGAAUUUUCUCCAAAUAAGAGAAGGGCAACAUAGACAUUACACACAUUUCCCUCCUCUACAUCAAACACGUCAGUUACAACUUCAUUCUACUCACCAUCCACUAUGGACCCUACGAAAACCCACAAAGAAGACGAAAUGUACGUCGAAGAAGACGAACAUCCAGUGGACAUUGCAGCCCACAUUCGAGGCUCUCUUCCCCAAUCCGUGUAUGGUAAGUGUGUUCCCCUUUUUUCGAUUUACAGUGUGAAAUUGUAUGAUUAUGAAGUUCCCCUGUUCGAUUGUCUUCACGUACUGGGAAAUUUAAAAAUUUUAAGUGAUUUGGUGUGUUAGAACGUAAUGCUUGUGUACUAUCUUUUCUGCACAUGUUCGUUGCUUGAACUGAAAAGGGCUAGGGCUUAACAUCAUAUUUUUCGGUGUUUUUUUAGGGGAAAAUUCAAAGUACUUCAGCAUACGGCUUCAUCAUGGUGGAAUUUUAUUUCAGAAGAUGAGAAAUUUUGUGUAUGAGCAUGGGUAAAUAAGUUAUAUAGACUAUAUCGACCCUGAUUUCUUCAAUAGAUUUCUUUUGGACAAUGUCGUGAAGAUGUUAGAAUAUUCUGAUAGAAUUAGAUAUCUGUACAAGAUGGAGAAGAAAAGAAUGAGUGAAACUUCAUUUUGGUUGGUUAAAGACUCAGAUUUCAUGAAUUUAGUGAAGUGGCUUGGUGAUACUAGAACUGCUGAACUAUAUUGCUUGCCUGUAGUUGAGGUUUUGGAGUUGCCUUGGGAUGAUACAGAACAAAAGGAUGUUCGAGUGUUUGAUUGUGAGAUUGGUGAGGAGUUGUGAAGGUUCAAAAGUCUGGUGAAGCAUUGAAUGAGCAGCAACCAUGCUAUGCUAUUGAGAUUUAUGACGAAUCACUAGACGGUGAUGACGUGUAUGUGGUUGAUGAAGUGGAUGACAUGGAAGUAGAUGAAGAGGAAGUUUUCCUUACAGGAGAUUACGUCGAAGCGUCAUAGAGGUUACAGUGCAUGGAACAGAGCAUGAGUAUACAGAGGUUGAUUUUAUAGGGGCUGAAGUAGACUCACAUGAACCAGAAGUGCAUGCUGCUGAACCAGAGAAACCACAUGAUGUUGAACCACAGUUGAGGUCUGAACAUGAGUUGCAUGACGCUGAAGCAGUGGUACAAGUUGCUGAAACUGAUGUGCAUGCUUCUGAACCAUAGUAGCAGGCUCAACAGGAGCUGCAUGGUACUGAACAAGAGGCGCAGGCUGCUGAACAUGAUGCCGAAGCAAAGGUGUAGGCUGCUGAAAUUGAUGUGCAUGCUUUUGAACCACACCAGUAGGCUCAGCAUGAGGUGCAGGCUGCUGAAACUGAUGUGGAGCUUGAUGAACCACAUGUUGACGUACCGAUUGUUGAAACUGGUGUGGAACAUGAUGAUCUUGAGCAGGAUGAUGAAUAUGAGGAGGGUAUAGGAGAGGAAUUCAAUGACUCGGAGUACGAGCAGGAAGAAAAUAUUGUUGUGGAUGAUAAUGAUGAAAAGACAUAUUUUAGGUUGAGUGAAGGUUUUGACAUUGGUGUAAGUGGAGAGCAGAAAAGUGUAAGGGAUGAACAGGAAGGUGAGGCAGCUGCUGGGGAAGAAUAUGGAAUAGACUACAAAGACUCCAAUGAGCUUAGAAGCUUACCCGGUGAUACGGAGGCUGAGGGUCAUCUGCCAAAAGGAAGAAUGUGCGCUGGUUUAGCCCUGCAACUGAUAUGGAUGAUCCACAGUUCAAGCUAGGUAAUGCAUUUGUUUUGUUUAAUUCAUUUGGAUGAUAAUGCAUUCUGGUUUAAUUCAUUUCUACUAGGGAUGAAAUUCGACAACAUCAAGAUUCUAAAGAAUUCAGUAGUUCAAUACUCAGUCAAAAAUUUCAGGCAACUGAGAUACGUGAAAAAUAUGAGGACACAGUUGAGAGUUUGAUGUCAAGAUAAUUGCCCUUGGGUUCUGUAUGCGUACCAACAACCCGACAAGAGUCUUAGAAUUAACACAUUGGUAGAUGAGCACACAUGUACCAUCGUGUGGCAAAAUAAAAGGGUUAAUUUAGGUUUUUUGGCAAAGAAAUACGUGAGAAAAUUUAGGUCUAAUCCCAACAUUCCAAUGAGUAGUUUUAUGGAGACUGUGAAAGAGGACUGCAUGUAUGAGAUUUCAAAGCAUCAGUUCUACAGGACAAGAUCAAAAUGUGCAGAAGUUAUUAAUGGGAUUGUAGCUGAGCAGUACAAAAUUUUAUGGGAUUACGGCGAGGAAUUGAAGAGAGCAAAUCCAGGCAGUACAGUACAAAUUGAAGGUUCAGGACAUACUUUUAAGAGAUUGUACAUCUGUAUAAGGGCUUGUAAGGAAGGGUUUAAGGCCACGUAGAGGCUAGUUGUUGAGUUGGAUGGAUGCUUCGUAAAAUCUGUAGAAGGUGGACAGUUGUUGGCAGCUGUUGGCAUCGAUGGUAAGAACUGUAUGUUCUCGUUAGCAUGGGCACUUGUGGAUACAGAGAACAAAAUAAACUGGCAAUGGUUCAUAGAAUUGUUGGUUCAUGACAUAGGGAUGCACAACCGUCGAGCUUGGACAUUCAUUUCCGACAAACAAAAGGGUUUGAUGGAUUCCAUAAGUCAAUACUGUGAAGGAGCGGAGUAUAGGUGUUGUGCUAGACAUAUUUGUAGUAAUUACAAAGGGCUGGCACUUAAGAACCAUUUUGGAUUGCAGCAAGGGCAACAAUAGUGUCAGAGUGGAAGAGUGCAAUGAAUGAGUUAAAAGACAUAAGUGAAGAGGCUUACAACUGGUUCUUUGAAAAACCUCCUUCCCAGUGGACCAGAUCCCAUUUUGAAGAGCAUUCGAGAUGUGAUAUUCUUCUUAAUAAUUUGUGUGAGGCAUUCAAUUCUUCCAUUUUUGUUGCCAGAGAUAGGCCCAUCAUCUCGAUGCUAGAGAAAAUUCGGCAUCAGCAAAUGAUAAGGAUGAAUGCAAAAAUGGGAAGCAGCACAGAGGUGGGAUCAUGCAUUCGGGCCAAGAAUUGUGAAAAUUAUUGAGAAUGCUAAGUCUGAGGUAAGGUACUUGAAGGCAGACUAUGCAGGCAACCAUAAGUUUGAGAUAAGCAGCAAAGACGAUUUGAGGUAGAGCGUUGACUUGACAAAACAUGCAUGUGCAUGCAGAAAAUGACAGCUCACUGGAAUACCAUGUCCCCAUGCAAUAUCAAUCAUGCUUUCAAGGGAUAUUGGCAUAUAUGAGGAGAUCGACCCAUGGUAUAGCAAGGAAACAUACCUCAAAUGUUACUCCCCAGUAAUCUACUCGAUGUCAGGACCUGAACUGUGGCCAGAAUUGGGAAAGCAUCCUCUCAAUCAACCUCAGAAGAGAAAAUAGGCUAGCAGACCCAAAAAAAUGAGGAAGAGAUCGUAGGCAGAUCCAUCUACAGGCGUUAAGAUGGGAAGGACUGGCAUGAAGAUACCGUAUAAAUGUUGUGGAGGGUCUGGACAUAACAAAAGAAGUUGUGAGAGAGCACUGCCUGGUGAAGAUAGUUCAUAGCAACAGUCUCAACCAAACACAUAAAUAGAGUCCCAAGAAGAUACACAUACUAGAUCAGCGAAGGGGAAGAGAAAAGCACAUUCAACGGAAACCUCCAAGUCACAGACAAAGAAGUCCAACAAUAGAGGAUCGCAAUCUUGAACAUCAUGUGCUCUCUCUUGUAUAGUUACUUUUUUGGGAAAAUGCUGUGAUUUUUUGCAAACUGAACUGAAAAUAUGUGCUUCAAAUGCUGUUAUUUUGUAGAUGUAACUAGAAUUUUUGAUGAAAUUGUUGAAUGUGAUGAUAAUAUUGAUGUCGAAUAUCUUGCAUUAUGUUUCUGCUGUUUGUCGUUGGUUUCUGAAAUUGUAUUCGUAAGACUUGAUGUGCAGGCGAUUAGGAAAUAUAUGAAAAUAUUUGAUACUUCCUCUGAAAGUAUUAUCAAACAUUUGGUACCUUUACUGCAAUAUUUUUAAAGGUUUAGUAUUCUGUCUGAAAUCAUUAGAAAAUAUUUGGUACUGAUUCUGUGAAUAGUUAUAAGGUUUGAUACCUAUGCUGCACCUUCUUCAGAUAAGUUUGAAGUGUAACAAGCUCUUUUAAUUUCGCAUUUUACAUAGAGGCCAGGAAAAGAUUGUUAAAUUUCAAGUCAAAAUGUACAACACAAUUUUUCCUUUUUACAUAUGCAUUUCACAACAUCAAGCACAUGGCUCUAUGUCGAAACCCUAAACUCAAAUUUCUGGAACUAAAAACUAAAAUCCUACAAUCUGACAUACCUAGGAACAAAGCCAUUUUGCAAACACUCCACACACAAAGCCGAAGAGCCAGAUCUUCCACACAUUUGGUCUUGUUGCUUGAAGUGUGUUAAUUUUAGCUUCCAUUUCUCUCCUACCUCAUAAUAGACCAGGAAUCAAUUCCUUCGAUCUCUCACACAUCGAAGGGUCACAUCACAUAAAGAAGGUGCAUCCACCUACAUCUUGGCUUCGAGGACAAGUGAGAAAUCUUCUUCCCGAGUUCAAGUUCGUCCACGAGGUCUUCAUCUGCACCGGGGAACCACAUCUGCAUACAUUCCCCUCCAUGUGCGUGCUGAUUUUUUUUUACUACCUGUGAGAGAGAAGGGAGGAGGUAAUAUAAUGAUAAAGAAUUGAAGGGAAAUAAACAGUGAAGUAUAUAAUAGGAGGGAAAUGUGUGUAAUGCCCAUGUUGCCCUUCACUUAUUUGGGGAAAUUCUUGAAAAUAUCAUUAGAGGGGUCAACUGACGGUUUUGGCGAUCAAACAGACGGAAACCGUCAUUUUGGACUGGCCCUGCUCAUUUUUUAAAGGUUUGAUAUCUCCGGUGGUACAAACUAAAGGUUUGGGCAAAGUCUGCUAAUAAACGAAAAGUUUGGUACCUCGGCUGCAAUUUUCCCUUUCUUUUAUUUUAAUUAUGUGAACAUUAUGUCCUUUAACAAUCUAGGACUUACAACCAUAGUGCAACUGUUAUCGUAACCAAUCUGUAGAACCUGCCAUUUCACUAGGUAGAAGUCUUCUGAUUAUAUAUAUAAAAUCCCUCCCAGCAUUUUUUCAUACCCCCCAACUAUAUCUAAUACAGUGAAUUGCCCUUAUUAAUAUAUAAUGUAUGUUUUCAGUUAUAGUUCUAUUUGACUUAAAUUGCUACAUUACAAAAUUCUGCUUUAUUUAACAAAGACACCAAAUUAUUGUUUGUGUUAUAUGUACAUAAUAGAUUCACAAAAUAGUUUGCAUACUCAUGAUGUGCUGAGAUGUGAUUAUAUCAAAAUUUCUUCAACCAAAUAAAAUUUAAAAAAAAAUCCAAUCUCUUUUCACCUCCUCAUUUGUACAUAAAGCAUUAUGUAUCUGCUUGCGUACAAGUAACAUUAUUUUUUAAGGAAGGGGAAAUGAAUAUGUAGAAUGCCCCUUUUUUUUCUUCUUUUGUAACAAAUAAUCUUUUGUAACAAAUAAUGUGGAGAAUAUAGAAGCAACAAAAAACACUUUGAACUUGUUAUGACCGAUUUCUUUAUUUUCCCAUUCAUUUACAGGUUGCCAAUAUUAUAUUCAUUUAAAUAAAGUUCAUUUAAAUCAGAAAAAUAAGAACUUACAUAAAGAUUUCAAAUGACCCAUUAAAAUCAAAUGAUGGAAUUUGGGAGCGAAAUUGGAGGAGAGACGAGAGUAAUGGAUUUGAUUCGAUUUGAUUUUGAGGCUCACCCACAAAGAAUAAAAUAAUUCAAUUUCGGGGGAAAAAAAUCAAAAUUUUUUGUGGUGCCACUUGACUACACAUGACCCAUGUGGGUUCGCCUAUGAUGCUGGACAUCAAUGAUGCUGAAUGACAAUGCUUUCAUUAGAGCAUCUGUAAAACCGUUGACUACACAUUAUGUCCUUCAUAACCACAAAUUCUUGAAAAUAAACGCAUAUUUCAUCCUCCAAAGAAUGGUCAAUGCGAAGAUCUGAUAAGCAACGCAUAUGACCAACUUUUCUCAUAUUGAAAAGAACAACCUCGAAAUAUUUAUCAUCUGAGUCGUAUAACUUAAAAUCGUAGUCGAUCGAAGCAUUAAUAACAACAUACGUAGCAAAGUUAAAUAAGUAAACUAGUAAUACAAUUAAGAGGUUGUCUUGUUCUGCUUUUUCUUUAAAAAUCGAUUCUUGCAAGAAAUAUGGGGGACCCCGUUGCAAUUAAGCAGAUGUUGUACAAAAAUAUUAACUAUGACAAAGAAUAAAGCAGCCACCCCCACCAAAUGUUGCUUGUUUUGUGCAUAGACCAUUUCGCCCUUGUUCAAAGAUCAAGUAUAAAAAAAUAUUUGUACCAUACACUCACAAUGCGUCACUGUGUAAUGGGAUCAAGACUCGAGUUACACCAAAUUUCAUGUGAGGUUUAGGUGAUUUAUUGGCAUGGGUAAAAAUAUCUUUAAGUAAGCCAGGGAAGGGUACAGCCUUUGCAUGGUCUCUUUUUUUGGCCUGAAUUUCUUAUUCAAAAUCCCUGUUUCAAACUAUUGUCAUUGUUAAUAAAAACAAGAUAAAUUCUAAAUCUAGUUCAAAACCAAAUAAUCAAUACAUACUUUAGAAAAUAUGUAUUUUUAAAUUAAUAGUAGUUUUCAAACAAAAAGAAAAUUAACUCCACAAAAUCAAGUAAAAGAACAAUAAAAAAUAUGUCUUUAGAAUCGGUUUUUUAUUUACAUGACAAUAAAAGUUGGGACGUUCCUUCUUAAACAUCAUGUGUAAUCUCAAGUUAUUGUUGUUGGUUUCUUAAUUUCAUAGUGCUGACUUUACGAUUCAUCUAGAAACAAUGCACCCACAACUCUAACUCCCCGUUUUGCAAAUAAUGGUCCGACUUAAUUAUCACAUAAUUCAAUCUAUUGUUACAUGGCUCGGAACUCCUUAAUUUCCCAAAAUAUGAAAUUGGUUCUAAAAUUUAGGUGGUUAAGUAUGAUUUUGUGCGAGGCCAGACAGAAGAGUUAGAAUUUCCAUAAAUGAGAAAAUGAUAUGUAGUUGUUCUAUAUUAGUAAUUCAAUACAUAUGAAAAGCAUAUCAAAGGAAGCAAUUAAACCCUAAUUCAAGGUCUUUAAAAUUCAUGAUUUUCACAUAUAAAGAUUAAUUGAUCAAGAAACAUACCUUGAUCCACGACAAUAAUUAAGUAAUUUAAAUCUGCAAAAGAGAAACCAGUAGAAAUAAAGAAAACAUUAUCUUUCUUCACCUCUCUAUAAUUGAAUGUAUUAAUUAAUGAGUUUCAUUCACGCUUAUAAGUAGAGAGGGAUAGUUUCAUGGGCCAUUAAAAUAAUUGUUCACUUUCCAUCAAAGUGAAUAUUUAUAAAGCUGUCACUUGACUCAUUUCUCAAUGGGCCAAUAGAAUUUUAACAAUAUUAAUCACUUUAAAUUAAGUGGAAAUUGCACAAGAAUAUACUUUAAAUAUUCAACCUUCUAAAAUCAGAUUGAAAAUUUGAUAUUUCAAAAAUCAAUGUAUUAUAUUUAAAUAUUAAAUAUUAUAAUACAAAUUUUAUUACAAACCCUAAAUAAUUAUUCCCUCUCCAUCUUUUCCCCUCUCUCUCUUCUCACCCAUCUCCCUCCCCACUCUUAGUCGCCACCUCUCAGUAGCCUUGCCUGACGGCACAUCACCGGCAACAAAUAGCUGUGACAAUGGCGGUUGGAAGUGUUGGCGAUGGUGUUGUGGUGAUGGUCCUCUCUUCCCACCCGUCUCCCUCUCCACUCUCAAUCGCCUCUUCUCUACUCUCAGUAGCCUUUCGACGACACUUCACCGACGAGAAAACAGUUGCAAUCACUCUCUGUAAGGCUGGGACGACACACGGCUAUGACGAAUGGGGCUGCCGUGACAAGAUUUUUGGGGGUGAUUGGGCUGCUGACAAUACACGGCUGCUUAUGGUUUAGGUGUGUUCUCUGUUGGUGAUUAUUGGUUGAUGAUGGCUGAGGCGAUGGUGGUGGUGGUUUUGGAUCUAUGGUUUACAUUGAUUUGGUUACUUCUGUGGUUCACUAUCGAUUAUUUUAGUUUUGUGGCAGUGGUGGUGGUAGUGUAUGGUGCAAUGGUGGGGAUGGUUGUGCGCAGUUCAUAUUUUUUUUCAAAUUUUUUGCUGCGUUGACGUUGGUGCGGUAGAGGUAGCUGUGGCAGUGGCAGUGGUGCAGUUUUUUUACAGGUGGUUAAUGGCGGUGAGACAUUGGUUUUGGUUGUUGAAGUGGUGGUGGUAGUGGUGGCAACUUCCAUAUUUUGGAGGUAGCGGGGCGGUAACGAUGAUAAUGAUGGUGGUUGCAGUGGUCGUGAGUAGGAUGAGAUGGGGUUAAAUGCUUGUGAACAAUUAUUUGGUUGAUUGUAACUAAUAAUUGGUUAAUUUGUAAUACGUGACCUCAAAAUUGUGACUGUGACUCAUAAUUGAUUAAGUUGUGACUAGAAAAUGAAUUGUGACCAAUUAAUAUAAUAAUUUGCGAUGAAUAAAUGAGUUGUGAUCAAUAAAAAUUUUGAUUUUAUGACCAAUAAAUUAUUUGUAACCUGUAAAAUUUUUGAUUUGUGACCAAAAAUAAGUUGUGACUAAAAAUUAAUUCAUGAUUAAUUAAUUUUUUGAUUUGUGAUCGAUGAACAAAUUGUGAUUUACAAAAUUUUUGAAUUAUGAUCGUAAAAUAAUUUUUGAUAUAAAAUUUUUAAUUUGUGGCUAAAAAUAAUAAAUGACUAAUUAAAUUGUUAAUUUGUGGUCAAAUUGUAUAGAUCUGUGAUCUAAAUAUAUUUAAUUGGUAAAUUAAUUAAUUAAAUCAUAAAUAAUUUUUAAUAAAAAUCUAACUUUUAAAGUUUAAAACUUUUUUUCUUAAUUUUGAAAUAUAUGAUACUUAAACUCUCACUUAUUAAAUUUUCCUUCAAAUUAAUUCUUUAAUAAUAUUACAUGGGCCACAUUUAAUUGGACUAACAAUCAAUACAAAAAGGCUGGUGUAAGGGAUGACGAUAGCCAUCGACUGUAUUUUUUUGACUUUUUUAUAAAUAAUAUAAAUAUAUAAAUAUGAAGGACAGAAAAAGAAUACAAUAUUCCAACUUUUCCCUUUAUCUCAGAUCUAUGCCAUUUUCCAAUAACACAGUAAAACAUAUAUGUUUCUGCAGCUCAAUUUCUAGGCUGAUUAUUAUGAAGUUGAUAUGGUUUGAUGCACUUCUUCUUCUUCUUCAGCUCCUCUUUAGCAAGGCAGCAUCAGAGUUCAAUAUAGAGACUCUUCCGGGUUAUUCGGGUACUCUUCCUGUCAAGCUCGAAACAGGGUGGGUUUCUUUCAUUCUUUAACAACUUCCUUUUGACUUUUAAUUCCAGAAACUGAGUAAAUUUUUUUAUAAAUUUGGAUGAUUAGAUAUAUUGAUGUGGGAGAAACUGAAGAAGUGCAACUAUUCUACUACUUCAUCGAGUCCGAAAGCAAUCCUAAAAUGGACCCUAUUCUGCUUUGGCUCAACGGUGGACCUGGUUGCUCUGCUCUCUCCGGCCUCUUUUAUGAAAUCGGUACUCUCUCUAUAUGUGUGUCAUUAUUUUCUUUCAGCAAAUGGGACUUAUACAUACUCAGGGAAUUACAUCCUUCCUAUGCAUAAACGGGAGAGAUAUGUGUGUGCAGUAUGCAAAUGAUGAGUAGCAACCAGCAAAAUAUGGAAAGUGAUUCGCACCAUUCAAAUUGAACACACAAAAGAUCUGCAUGUGCUCUGUAUCGUAGAUAAGUAAUAUAACGAUAAGUAGAGUAUCGUCUCACGAAAAUUAUGUAUUUAAUCUAGUAUCAAUUAAUGCUUACUCUAAUUGAAUUGUUGAGUUUGUAUGGUGAAUUUAUACUAAUUAAUUAAUUAAAUUACUUCAAUGAGCAACUUAUGAAAGCUUUUUGUAAAAUUAUGUUAAGCACUUGCUACGACUUUGAAUUUUCCUUAUUAAUCCAAUUUAAUGCAAUUCAAUAUCAUGACAAUAUGU